rnacentral:rRNA from 1 species
AGUCGAGGGGCAGCAUUUUAGUUUUGCUUGCAAACUAAAGAUGGCGACCGGCGCACGGGUGAGUAACACGUAUCCAACCUGCCGAUAACUCGGGGAUAGCCUUUCGAAAGAAAGAUUAAUAUCCGAUAGUAUAUUAAAACCGCAUGGUUUUACUAUUAAAGAAUUUCGGUUAUCGAUGGGGAUGCGUUCCAUUAGUUUGUUGGCGGGGUAACGGCCCACCAAGACUACGAUGGAUAGGGGUUCUGAGAGGAAGGUCCCCCACAUUGGAACUGAGACACGGUCCAAACUCCUACGGGAGGCAGCAGUGAGGAAUAUUGGUCAAUGGACGAGAGUCUGAACCAGCCAAGUAGCGUGAAGGAAGACUGCCCUAUGGGUUGUAAACUUCUUUUAUAUGGGAAUAAAGUAUUCCACGUGUGGGANUUUUGUAUGUACCAUAUGAAUAAGGAUCGGCUAACUCCGUGCCAGCAGCCGCGGUAAUACGGAGGAUCCGAGCGUUAUNCCGGAUUUAUUGGGGUUUAAAGGGAAGCGUAGGUGGAUUGUUAAGUCAGUUGUGAAAGUUUGCGGCUCAACCGUAAAAUUGCAGUUGAAACUGGCAGUCUUGAGUACAGUAGAGGUGGGCGGAAUUCGUGGUGUAGCGGUGAAAUGCUUAGAUAUCACGAAGAACUCCGAUUGCGAAGGCAGCUCACUAGACUGCAACUGACACUGAUGCUCGAAAGUGUGGGUAUCAAACAGGAUUAGAUACCCUGGUAGUCCACACAGUAAACGAUGAAUACUCGCUGUUUGCGAUAUACAGUAAGCGGCCAAGCGAAAGCAUUAAGUAUUCCACCUGGGGAGUACGCCGGCAACGGUGAAACUCAAAGGGAAUUGACGGGGGCCCGCACAAGCGGAGGAACAUGUGGUUUAAUUCGAUGAUACGCGAGGAACCUUACCCGGGCUUAAAUUGCAUUUGAAUAAUCUGGAAACAGGUUAGCCGCAAGGCAAAUGUGAAGGUGCUGCAUGGUUGUCGUCAGCUCGUGCCGUGAGGUGUCGGCUUAAGUGCCAUAACGAGCGCAACCCUUAUCUUUAGUUACUAACAGGUCAUGCUGAGGACUCUAGAGAGACUGCCGUCGUAAGAUGUGAGGAAGGUGGGGAUGACGUCAAAUCAGCACGGCCCUUACGUCCGGGGCUACACACGUGUUACAAUGGGGGGUACAGAAGGCAGCUACCUGGCGACAGGAUGCUAAUCCCAAAAACCUCUCUCAGUUCGGAUCGAAGUCUGCAACCCGACUUCGUGAAGCUGGAUUCGCUAGUAAUCGCGCAUCAGCCAUGGCGCGGUGAAUACGUUCCCGGGCCUUGUACACACCGCCCGUCAAGCCAUGAAAGCCGGGGGUACCUGAAGUACGAACCGCAAGGAG